rnacentral:rRNA from 1 species
CGAAGGGCUAGCGUUGUUCGGAAUCACUGGGCGUAAAGGGUGCGUAGGCGGAUUCUUAAGUCAGGGUGAAAUCCCGAGGCUCAACCUCGGAACUGCCUUUGAUACUGGGGAUCUUGAGUCCGGAAGAGGUGAGUGGAACUGCGAGUGUAGAGGUGAAAUUCGUAGAUAUUCGCAAGAACACCGGUGGCGAAGGCGGCUCACUGGUCCGGAACUGACGCUGAGGCACGACAGCGUGGGGAGCAAACAGGAUU